AACGAACGCUGGCGGCAGGCCUAACACAUGCAAGUCGAGCGCGCCCUUCGGGGUGAGCGGCGGACGGGUGAGUAACGCGUGGGAACGUGCCCUUUUCUACGGAAUAGCCUCGGGAAACUGAGAGUAAUACCGUAUACGCCCUUUGGGGGAAAGAUUUAUCGGAAAAGGAUCGGCCCGCGUUGGAUUAGGUAGUUGGUGGGGUAAUGGCCUACCAAGCCGACGAUCCAUAGCUGGUUUGAGAGGAUGAUCAGCCACACUGGGACUGAGACACGGCCCAGACUCCUACGGGAGGCAGCAGUGGGGAAUCUUAGACAAUGGGGGCAACCCUGAUCUAGCCAUGCCGCGUGAGUGAUGAAGGCCUUAGGGUUGUAAAGCUCUUUCAGCUGGGAGGAUAAUGACGGUACCAGCAGAAGAAGCCCCGGCUAACUCCGUG
rnacentral:rRNA from 1 species